AGCGUCUGCAGACGGAAAGCCACGCGCGUGCGUGAAGAUGCGUCAUUAAUAACGGAAAGCUGCGCUGUGGCGGUUGACUUUGCUCCCUCUAGUUCUCUUGGGCAGCGUUUCCGCGCUGCCCGGGACACAGCGGUCCCGCAGGGAGCACAUCGGGACUAAAAAGCGCCGAUGAGAGAGCGGAGUGUGUCGUAAUGGCUGGGCCGUGCCAGGGACAGCCAAAAGAGCUCGUGCCCAAAGUAAUCCCCCGUCCAUCGACAGCAGCCGGUUGAUGCUCUAGCAGCGCAGUCCCAGCUGCCUGUGCUUCAUGAAAUGGCCUUGGGCAGGCAUAAGGAACACUUGUGGUCAAAUAAGGAGGGAUCUUGUAGCCUCAGGAUAAGUAGGAGGAUGAAGAAACAGCAGCUCGAAGGGCUGGAAGGAAGUAAUUCUUCGCUAACAGCUGGCUCUGUCACUGAUUCUGCUAUUGUAGACAGGUCAGUCUACAAAUUAUGGGGGAAAUGACCUCCUCCAGACUAAAAGCUUAAUGUGAAAGAAAUAGUGUAGGUGUGAAAAAUGCAGUUGUGAUUCGUGCUAAGAUGUUUAAUGUUUACAGGUAUAACCAAAUGAGGCACGGACCCUGAACUUGGAAAAGGGAAAGGUGGUUAAGUUCUAUGUAAAAAGUUAUGAAACUUGUUUAGGAAGCUAUAUUGAUAUUGGGAACUAACAUUUUAAGGGUUAAGCAACUAUAUAAUAAGGGCCUACUAACAAGCUAACAUUUUAAACCACAUAAUUAAUAUCUAGUUUAGAGCUGUAUGUAACUAAUUGUGCUAAAAAAAGGAGAAAAAAAAAGUAGGACUUCAUUAAAUGCCGAGAUAAGAAGUUUUACAGAACCAGCUGUGUAACCUUGAGGAGACAAGAUAGCCAAGAUUUACAGCAAAAAGGAGGCACCAGCCUGGUUCCAGUCGGUUUGGUAGCUUGGAUUCCAGCCAGUUCCUUCUAAUGAGCCAAAGUCAUGCCAGUACAGCCAGAUAGGGACAAGAUAGAAGGGAUCUUCUCCAGUCUGUAUCACUCAAUUCUACAACUGCUUUGUUUUCUUCUCUGUGCUGUGGGAACCAGUGAUUUCUUGAAAAACAUAUGGAUCUUUUGGCUGGGGGAGAACAGCCUGAGGUGCAAUGCUAACCCAUAGCAGACAGGUAUUCAGCUGUUCUCCACCACCCACCUGAGCAACUCCAAUGGCUCUGCUGUUUGCAUCCCCCACUGGUAUACAGCUUCCAUGGGAAUUAUUACAGCAGCUUGACUCAUUUUACUGGAGCGUAGAACUGCUAACAUAUGGUCAUCAGCCUUCUCACUGCAAGCAACCAGACAGCCCAAGAAGUGGAGGUGGGAUCACAGAACAAAAUCCAGAAACCAAUACUCUUAUGUGGAGCCUCAGUUUUCUAAUCUAAGGCAGAAUUUAACAGUCUGCAGCUGUCCUAUUCUACUCAAGUUGGUUAUAGUCAGGAAUACAGCCAUGCUGGUUGAAAAUAGCUAACAGAAAGGAUUGUCUAGCAACCAUAACCUGCAUUGCUCUCUCCUUCGUGCUAUGUAAAGGUAGACAGGGCAAGUAAAAUCAGUUUUAUGACUGCUCUAUUCUCCCACAGUGGUGGCAUACAGGCUGUUGGCACUUAUUCUGUGCAGCAGGCAGAAGAGGACUGAAUUCUGUCCCAAGGAAUAAUUUUGCUGCCUUUACCUUUCUGUAAUAUGCUGAGAGAAUAAUAAACCAACAGUAUUACACCAAGUGCCACAUAAAAA